GUUAUUAUGGACUUUACUUCAGAUGACGUUUGUCUGAACCACUCAUAUUUUAAGUCAGCAGAGUCCUUCACAUCACAGCCCUGCAGGUGUACGUGCCUCCUUCAGACACAGAGAUCGUUCUGCCUGAUUCAUCAGUUAUUAUGGACUUUUCUUCAGAUGACGUUUGUCUGAACCACUCAUAUUUUAAGUCAGCAGAUUCCUUCACAUCACAGCCCUGCAGGUGUACGUGCCUCCUUCAGACACAGAGAUCGUUCUGCCUGAUUCACCAGUUAUUAUGGACUUUACUUCAGAUGACGUUUGUCUGAACCACUCAUAUUUUAAGUCAGCAGAGUCCUUCACAUCACAGGUCAGUGUCACACUGCCCCCUGCUGGUAUGGUUGUGCUGUCUGCUGUUAGUACGGGCUUGUCAUGUACUGUAAGUUAGAAAUACAAAAAAAAAAAAAAAAAAAUCCCCCCAAAACAAGAGAACUAUUGUCACUGCAGGUUUAGUGAGAAUUUUAAAAAGACCAUUAUGUUUUACUAGAUUUGUAGCUCUGCAUCUGUUCACCACCACAGUCAAU
ensembl:lncRNA